GCCUGGGUGGCUCAGUCGGUUAAGCAUCCGACUUCGGCUCAGGUCAUGAACUCACGGUUUGUGGGUUCGAGCCCCACGUCGGGCU
rnacentral:tRNA from 1 species